rnacentral:rRNA from 1 species
UCAGUUCGGACUGUAGGCUGCAACUCGCCUACACGAAGCUGGAAUCGCUAGUAAUCGCGGAUCAGCACGCCGCGGUGAAUACGUUCCCGGGCCUUGUACACACCGCCCGUCACACCAUGAGAGUCUGUAACACCCAAAGCCGGUGGGAUAACCUUUAUAGGAGUCAGCCGUCUAAGGUAGGACAGAUGAUUAGGGUGAAGUCGUAACAAGGUACC